rnacentral:rRNA from 1 species
AUUGAACGCUGGCGGCAUGCUUUACACAUGCAGGUCGAACGGUGACAGGUCUUCGGAUGCUGACGAGUGGCGAACGGGUGAGUAAUGCAUCGGAACGUGCCCAGUCGUGGGGGAUAACGCAGCGAAAGCUGUGCUAAUACCGCAUACGAUCUAUGGAUGAAAGCGGGGGACCGUAAGGCCUCGCGCGAUUGGAGCGGCCGAUGUCAGAUUAGCUAGUUGGUGGGGUAAAGGCCCACCAAGGCGACGAUCUGUAGCUGGUCUGAGAGGACGACCAGCCGCACUGGGACUGAGAGACGGCCCAGACGCCUAGGGGAGGCGGCAGUGGGGAAUUUUGGACAGUGGGCGCAAGCCUGAGCCAGCAAUGCCGCGUGCAGGAAGAAGGCCUUCGGGUUGUAAACUGCUUUUGUACGGAACGAAACGGUCUGGGUUAAUACCCUGGGCUAAUGACGGUACCGUAAGAAUAAGCACCGGCUAACUACGUGCCAGCCGCCGCCGUAA